rnacentral:rRNA from 1 species
UAUCGCGUAGGGAUCUAUCCAUGGGUGGGGGAUAACAUCGGGAAACUGGUGCUAAUACCGCAUGAUACCUGAGGGUCAAAGGCGCAAGUCGCCUGUGGAGGAGCCUGCGUUCGAUUAGCUUGUUGGUGGGGUAAAGGCCUACCAAGGCGAUGAUCGAUAGCUGGUCUGAGAGGAUGAUCAGCCACACUGGGACUGAGACACGGCCCAGACUCCUACGGGAGGCAGCAGUGGGGAAUAUUGGACAAUGGGCGAAAGCCUGAUCCAGCAAUGCCGCGUGUGUGAAGAAGGUCUUCGGAUUGUAAAGCACUUUCGACGGGGACGAUGAUGACGGUACCCGUAGAAGAAGCCCCGGCUAACUUCGUGCCAGCAGCCGCGGUAAUACGAAGGGGGCUAGCGUUGCUCGGAAUGACUGGGCGUAAAGGGCGCGUAGGCGGUUUACACAGUCAGAUGUGAAAUUCCAGGGCUUAACCUUGGGGCUGCAUUUGAUACGUGUAGACUAGAGUGUGAGAGAGGGUUGUGGAAUUCCCAGUGUAGAGGUGAAAUUCGUAGAUAUUGGGAAGAACACCGGUGGCGAAGGCGGCAACCUGGCUCAUUACUGACGCU